rnacentral:rRNA from 1 species
AAGUCGAGCGGGCUUAUUCGGGCAACUGGAUAAGUUAGCGGCGAACUGGUGAGUAACACGUAGGUAAUCUGCCGUGAAGUGGGGGAUAACCCAUGGAAACAUGGACUAAUACCGCAUAUACUCUUGCUACAUAAGUAGAGUAGAGGAAAGUUUUUUCGCUUCACGAUGAGCCUGCGGCCUAUUAGCCUGUUGGUAGGGUAAUGGCCUACCAAAGCUACGAUAGGUAGCCGACCUGAGAGGGUGACCGGCCACAUUGGGACUGAGAUACGGCCCAGACUCCUACGGGAGGCAGCAGCUGAGAAUCUUCCACAAUGGACGAAAGUCUGAUGGAGCGACAUCGCGUGAGGGAUGAAGGCCUUCGGGUUGUAAACCUCGGAAAUUAUCGAAGAAUGAGUGACAGUAGAUAAUGUAAGCCUCGGCUAACUACGUGCCAGCCCGCGGUAAAUACGUAGAGGCAAACGUU